rnacentral:rRNA from 1 species
CCAAUAGCGUGUAUUAAAGUUGUUGCAGUUAAAAAGCUCGUAGUUGAAUUUCGGGAUUGACGUGACGGUCAUGCCUUAAGGGGUAUGAACUGUUACAGUUGAUUUCUCACCUUCUGGAGAAACUUGAUGUCCUUUAUUGGGUGUCUUGCGGAUCCAGGACCUUUACCUUGAAAAAAUUAGAGUGUUUAAAGCAGGCAUUUUUGCUCGAAUACAUUAGCAUGGAAUAAUAGAAUAGGACGGCAUGGUUCUAUUUUGUUGGUUUCUAGGAUCACCGUAAUGAUUAAUAGGGAUAGUUGGGGGCAUUAGUAUUCAAUUGUCAGAGGUGAAAUUCUUGGAUUUAUUGAAGACUAACUACUGCGAAAGCAUUUGCCAAGGAUGUUUUCAUUAAUCAAGAACGAAAGUUAGGGGAUCGAAGACGAUCAGAUACCGUCGUAGUCUUAACCAUAAACUAUGCCGACUAGGAAUCAGACGAUGUUAAUUUUUUAAUGACUCGUUUGGCACCUUACG